UACGUAGGGUGCAAGCGUUAUCCGGAAUUAUUGGGCGUAAAGAGCUCGUAGGCGGUUUGUCGCGUCUGCUGUGAAAUCCCGAGGCUCAACCUCGGGCUUGCAGUGGGUACGGGCAGGCUAGAGUGCGGUAGGGGAGAAUGGAACUCCUGGUGUAGCGGUGGAAUGCGCAGAUAUCAGGAAGAACACCGAUGGCGAAGGCAGUUCUCUGGGCCGUAACUGACGCUGAGGAGCGAAAGCGUGGGGAGCGAACAGG
rnacentral:rRNA from 1 species